CGGCACUGCUUGCCCUUCAACCCCACGCCGUCGGCGCGCAGCCACGCCCCGCCACGCCCCUGCAGGUCCGCUCCCCGCCUUUGAGUCGCUGGAAGGCCGCCUCCGGACGCCGCUCGGAGAAGAGCCAGGUGUCGCUGUCGUCCUCUGCAUCUGGGCCGCUGCCGCGGCUCUUCGGCCUGGGUUCCAGGAAUGACCCACCCAAGUUCCAUAAGGGCAGAGCCAUUAUUUUGUUUCCUACUUUACCCCUAAUGGCUGUCACUUGAAAAUUGUAGAAGCUGAAGUGCCUCGGUUCACAUAAAUAGCCUUGGCACA